UGCUGUCGUCGUUUGUUGAGGUGCCACAUCGGUCCAGCCUCUAAUAUCUAUUUCCUAAUAUUGAUUCAAAACUUUGCACAUAACUUAAUUUUUUGCAUUCUAACACAUCAUACGCGUAUUUUAACAAAGUUCCUGACCUAAUUUUAACUUUUGCCGCUGUACAGACUUUUUUAAGUUUGUAAUUCCGGCUUUUACGUUAGAUUUUUUACUUCAUCGUUUAUACCAAGAAUCAUGAGGUCAGUGACGCUGAUCGCGUUGCUGGUGGUGCUGACGGUUGUAGGGCAGGCAGCGGGCCAGCAGCCCGCCCCCAACAACGAUCAGGACACGCGGCUCGGUCUAAUCGCCAACCAGAUCGGCGUUCCUCCCGUGCCAGGUGGUAUCCCGGUGGUGGGCAUUGGUAGCCAGUUCCCAGGCGGGUUCCCAGGGCGCG
rnacentral:lncRNA from 1 species